UAGGGAAUAUUAGAAAUGGACGAAAGUCUGAUCUAGCAACACCGCGUGUGUGAAGAAGGCCUUUGGGUCGUAAAGCACUUUUUGGAAGGAAUAGGAAGGAAUGUACUUCCAGAAUAAGUCUCGGCUAACUACGUGCCAGCAGCCGCGGUAACACGUAGGAGGCAAACGUUAUCCGGAUUUACUGGGCGUAAAGCGCGUGUAGGUGGUACUGUAAGUAGGGCGUGAAAGCUCCUGGCUCAACUGGGAGAGGCCGUUCUAAACUACAGAACUAGAGGGUGGUAGAGGGAGGUGGAAUUCCAGGUGUAGCGGUGGAAUGCGCAGAUAUCUGGAGGAACACCGGUGGCGAAGGCGGCCUCCUGGACCAUUCCUGACACUCAGACGCGAAAGCUAGGGUAGCAAACGG
rnacentral:rRNA from 1 species